rnacentral:tRNA from 1 species
GGCCCCUUGGUCAAGCGGCUAAGACAUCGCCCUUUCACGGCGGAGACAGGGGUUCGAUUCCCCUAGGGGUCACCA